rnacentral:lncRNA from 1 species
AUAAAAAUAUUUUAUCAUAUCAAAGGAAAUGUUUCCUCGUAAAAAAUUUGGAAAACACAUAACAUUGUAGUGAAUAAUGGAAGAUUUAUAUAUAGUGAUAUUGUUAUUAUAUUUUUAAAUAGGUAACUAUUGGUAUCAGUUUUUGUAAAAAAUGUGAAUAAA